CAUGAAGAAGGGCUGCAGCACUGGAGUAGAGAUGAAAAGGCAUUAGUCUAGCUGGGACUGACCCACUUGCAAGCACGCAUGUAAUCCUUCAGCUAUUGUUAUUUAGAGAGGAACUGGAACCACCCUUGCAAACAGAUGAGAAGGCAGGUCACCUUCCUGAAGGUACAGAGUGGAUAGAACACGUAAAGAGGAGAGAAGGAUGUCAGGAGUGAAUUGACAAAAAAGACUUUCUGCAUAUCCUGCUGCUCUGCCUAGGAGGUGAAGAGGAAUAAUCUUCUUGCAAACCACAGGAAGCAGGUGAUAGUUUUUUGCUACCAGAAAGAUCUGAAAACUUUGUGAAAAUGGUACUGUUUAAUACUUUUCUGUGACAAAGGUUAGCUUCUACGUGUGUGUGUUGGUUGAAUAAAACAUUUUCCUAUUAAAGUGAUACGCUUCAGAAGGAUUUUGUAACUAUGAGAAUGUAAGAAAUGUGCAUUUUGCCACUGAAUUCAUUAGCAACACAUGUCACAGUUCUAUCUGGGUGCUGCAUAUCACAAAAUACAGAGAUGCACACAUAAUAUGUUCGAAGGCUGUUUAUUUCUAGGAUGCAGACAUUUAAAAGAGAAGUAAAGGGCAUAUUAUUAUGCAGACUUUCAAGCAUAUUAAUCUGUUUGGAGAAAUAUG